ensembl:snRNA U6 U6 spliceosomal RNA
CCCUGUGUUAAUGAUACAGAGAAGAUUAGUAUGGCCCCUGCACAAGGAUGACAUGUAAAUUUGUGAAGUGUUCCAUAUUUUU